GACGAACGCUGGCGGCGUGCCUAAUACCAGCAAGUAGACCGCUGUUCCGAACGCGUGCGUAACGCGUAGGUAACUGCCUCAUAGCGGGGGAUAACUAUUGGAAACGAUAGCUAAUACCGCAUACUGUGAGAUGGACCUGCGUUGUAUUAGCUAGUUGGUGAGGUAAAGGCUCACCAAGGCGCCGAGACAUAGCCGACCUGAAAGGGUGAGCGGCGACACUGUGACUGGGACAAGGCCCAGACUGCUACGGGAGGAAGCAGUAGGGAAGUGUCGGCAAUGGACGGAAGUCUGACCGAGCAACGACGCGGGAGUGAAGAAGGUUUUGGGAGCGUAAAGAUCGGUUGUUAGAGAAGCGGUAACGAACCAGAAAGGGACGGCUAACUACGUGCCAGCAGCCGCGGUAAUAC
rnacentral:rRNA from 1 species